rnacentral:rRNA from 1 species
GGGGUAGAGUAAUGCGUGACCAACCUGCCCCAUGCUCCAGAAUAGCUCUUGGAAACGGGUGGUAAUGCUGGAUGCUCCAACUUGACGCAUGUCUUGUUGGGAAAGUGUUUAGUUGCAUGGGAUGGGGUCGCGUCCUAUCAGCUUGUAGGCGGGGUAAUGGCCCACCUAGGCUUCGACGGGUAGCCGGCCUGAGAGGGCGGACGGCCACAUUGGGACUGAGAUACGGCCCAGACUCCUACGGGAGGCAGCAGCG